UAGAGAGGGUGCGAGCGUUAAUCGGAAUUACUGGGCGUAAAGCGCACGUAGGCGGCUUUGCAUGUCGGGUGUGAAAUCCCCGGGCUCAACCUGGGAACUGCAUCCGAAACUGCCUUGCUCGAGUAUGGGAGAGGGAAGUGGAAUUUCCGGUGUAGCGGUGAAAUGCGUAGAUAUCGGAAGGAACAUCAGUGGCGAAGGCGACUUCCUGGACCAAUACUGACGCUCAGGUGCGAAAGCGUGUGGAGCAAACAGG
rnacentral:rRNA from 1 species